UACAGAGGGUGCAAGCGUUAAUCGGAUUUACUGGGCGUAAAGCGUGCGUAGGUGGCUCGCUAAGUCGAACGUGAAAUCCCCGGGCUCAACCCGGGAACUGCGUCCGAUACUGGCAGGCUUGAAUCCGGGAGAGGGAUGUGGAAUUCCAGGUGUAGCGGUGAAAUGCGUAGAUAUCUGGAGGAACACCGGUGGCGAAGGCGGCAUCCUGGACCGGUAUUGACGCUGAGGCGCGAAAGCCAGGGGAGCAAACGGG
rnacentral:rRNA from 1 species